GUGAGGAAUAUUGGACAAUGGGCGCAAGCCUGAUCCAGCCAUGCCGCGUGCAGGAAGACGCAUCUAUGGUGUGUAAACUGCUUUUGUACGGGAAGAAACACUCCCUCGUGAGGGAGCUUGACGGUACCGUAAGAAUAAGGAUCGGCUAACUCCGUGCCAGCAGCCGCGGUAAUACGGAGGAUCCAAGCGUUAUCAGGAAUCAUUGGGUUUAAAGGGUCCGUAGGCGGUUUAAUAAGUCAGUGGUGAAAGCCCAUCGCUCAACGAUGGAACGGCCAUUGAUACUGUUAGACUUGAAUUACAAGGAAGUAACUAGAAUAUGUAGUGUAGCGGUGAAAUGCUUAGAUAUUACAUGGAAUACCAAUUGCGAAGGCAGGUUACUACUUGUGGAUUGACGCUGAUGGACGAAAGCGUGGGGAGCGAACAGGAUUAGAUACCCUGGUAGUCC
rnacentral:rRNA from 1 species